rnacentral:rRNA from 1 species
GAUGAACGCUGGCGGCGUGCCUAAUACAUGCAAGUCGAGCGAACAGACGAGGAGCUUGCUCCUCUAACGUUAGCGGCGGACGGGUGAGUAACACGUGGAUAACCUACCUAUAAGACUGGGAUAACUUCGGGAAACCGGAGCUAAUACCGGAUAAUAUAUUGAACCGCAUGGUUCAAUAGUGAAAGACGUGUUUGCUGUUGCUUAUAGAUGGAUCCGCGCCGCAUUAGCUAGUUGGUAAGGUAACGGCUUACCAAGGCAACGAUGCGUAGCCGACCUGAGAGGGUGAUCGGCCACACUGGAACUGAGACACGGUCCAGACUCCUACGGGAGGCAGCAGUAGGGAAUCUUCCGCAAUGGGCGAAAGCCUGACGGAGCAACGCCGCGUGAGUGAUGAAGGUCUUCGGAUCGUAAAACUCUGUUAUUAGGGAAGAACAAAUGUGUAAGUAACUAUGAACGUCUUGACGGUACCUAAUCAGAAAGCCACGGCUAACUACGUG